CAGUUACGGUUCAUUGGAUAUUGUUUUUUUUACAUGGAUAACUGUGGUAAAUCUAGAGCUAAUACAUGCACAAAAGCUUUAACCUGUUUGAGGAAAAAGCGCAUUUAUUAGACCAAGACCAAUGGUCCUUGUGACCCCAACCCUUGGUGACUCCGAAUAACUGAGCUAAUCGCAUGGCCUAUGCGCCGGCGAUAUAUCCUUCAAGCGUCUGCCUUAUCAACUGUA
rnacentral:rRNA from 1 species